CUCUGCUUCUAGGGGGACCGACCUGCAAUUGUGACAAAAGAGCCAAGAAGCCAAGUGCCAAGGGCAGGAACACGCGAUCGCAGUUGGGCGGAGACUGGCCACAUCAGAUCUUGAGAUGAGGACUGGCCAUACCCGACAGACCAACCAUGCGAUUCAGGGCGGAGGCUUUGGGUCCUGCUGUCAGUUGACCUGGAGUCUGAGGUCCGCCCCUGGGCCAUCGGUCGAGCCAUCAACCAUGCCCACAUAAUGAAGCUCCAGUGAAAAUGAGUGAAACGAAACGACAAGACAAAACUGGACUCCAAAGCGUGCGUAGGCAUUCCCUGAUCGGCGGGACUCUGUGCGUAUUGUCACAAGUCAGUGCCACGGGGGUAAUAUACACACUGAGCAUGCGACGCGUUCGAAACUCUUCCAGACUCUGCCCUAUGGACCGAUUCCUUUGGCUGAUUAACCUGUAUCCUUUCCCUGUGAUAAACUAUGACCAUGAACAUA